rnacentral:ncRNA from 1 species
ACAACAAUAAAAGCGCCAGCACAAGUUGAUAAUUUAACUGAACACAUGAUCUUAAUAGCAGAAGAUUAUUGUGGUUAAUGAUUCACUUGUAGACGAGGAGGAUAGUGAUCGAAUUAGUUCGGCGGAUGCUAUCCCGGAUGUGGCUCAUUCGUUAGCUUAUUAAUUAAAGCGAGAAGGUGACUUUUCGGACAAAGUUAAUAAGAUCGCCAAAC